rnacentral:tRNA from 1 species
GCCCGCGCAGCUCGACUGGCCGAGCACCCGCCUUGUACCCGGGAGGCUCCGGUUCGAUCCCGGACGCGGGCUCCA